UACAGAGGGGGCAAGCGUUAUUCGGAAUUAUUGGGCGUAAAGGGCGCGUAGGCGGCUUGGCAAGUGGAAGGUGAAAUCCCUCGGCUUAACCGAGGAACUGCCCUCCAAACUGCUUCGCUUGAGACCGGGAGAGGUGAGUGGAAUUCCCAGUGUAGCGGUGAAAUGCGUAGAUAUUGGGAGGAACACCAGUGGCGAAGGCGGCUCACUGGACCGGUACUGACGCUGAUGCGCGAAAGCUAGGGGAGCAAACGGG
rnacentral:rRNA from 1 species